AUAAAAUAUUAUUUAUAGUAUAAAAAUUUAUUAUAAAUUUAUUUUACAUAUAAAUUUUAGUGUUAAUUUUUAAUUUAUUUUAAUAAUAAUUAAUUAUUUUUAUAGUAAUUAAAAUUAAAAAUUUAAGAAAUUAAGAUUUAGUAAUAUUUAAAUUAAUAACUAAUUUUGUGCCAGCAGUUGCGGUUAUACAAAAAUUAAAUUAAAUUUUUUUAGUAAUUAAUAAAUAUUAAUUAAUAAAAUUAAAUUUUAAAUUAUUAAGUGAAAUUUUAAUUUAUUAAAAUUUUAUAAUAUAUUAUAAUAUGAAUUAAAAAAUUUUAUUAAAAACUAGGAUUAGAUACCCUAUUAUUAAAAAUUUAAAUUAAAAAUACUAAAAUAGUAUAUAAUUUUAUAAAAACUUAAAUAAUUUGGCGGUAUUUUAGUUUAUUUAGAGGAAUCUGUUUAUUAAUUGAUAUUCCACGAAUAAAUUUACUUAAUUUAUUAAUUUUGUAUAUCGUUGUUAUAAAAAUAUUUUUAAAUAAUAAUAAUAUUUUAAUUUUUAAAUUGAAAUUUAAAUCAGAUCAAGAUGCAGAUUAUAAUUAAGAAUAUAAUGGAUUACAAUAAAUUUAUUUAAUUGGAUAUUAAUUUUAAAAUUUUAUUGAAAUUGGAUUUAAAUGUAAUUUUAUUUAAUUUAUUAAAAUGAUUUAAAUUUAAAAUAUGUACAUAUUGCCCGUCGCUUUCAUUUAUAAAUUGAAAUAAGUCGUAACAAAGUAGAGGUACUGGAAAGUGUUUCUAGAAAGA
rnacentral:ncRNA from 1 species